CAAAAGCUCAUGUUGCACAACUCUCCUCAGCCUCUUUGCAGUCUCACUCGCUCAACACCUCAAAGAGACCUCCCUCUUUAAUCUCCCGGACGUCUCCACCUCCCAAUCCUGUCUCCACGAUUUUCAAUCCAAGCUCACCUCUCUCCCCCUGGCCAACAACCUCGCCUCUUCUUGCUUUGAUCCUCAGCAGUUCGUGAUUGGACCUGACAUAUGUGCCGGUGUGCAGAACAUCUCCGACUGGGUGGCGAAACUCGGCCCCU
rnacentral:lncRNA from 1 species